UGAGGAAUAUUGGACAAUGGGUGGAAGCCUGAUCCAGCCAUCCCGCGUGAGGGACGACGGCCCUAUGGGUUGUAAACCUCUUUUGUACGGGGAUAAACCUAUCUACGUGUAGAUAGCUGAAGGUACCGUACGAAUAAGCACCGGCUAACUCCGUGCCAGCAGCCGCGGUAAUACGGAGGGUGCGAGCGUUAUCCGGAUUUAUUGGGUUUAAAGGGUCCGUAGGCGGGCCCGUAAGUCAGUGGUGAAAUCUCGCAGCUUAACUGCGAAACUGCCAUUGAUACUGCGGGCCUUGAGUGGAUUUGAAGUGGCUGGAAUAAGUAGUGUAGCGGUGAAAUGCAUAGAUAUUACUUAGAACACCGAUUGCGAAGGCAGGUCACUAAGGUCCAACUGACGCUGAGGGACGAAAGCGUGGGUAGCGAACAGG
rnacentral:rRNA from 1 species